UCCCUCUUAGCUCAGUGGUAGAGCGCGUCACUAGUAUAUUGUUCACUUGCUUUAUGACGAGGUCAGUCGUUCAAGUCGGCUAGAGGGAA